GUGCCUUAGAUGCAUUUAGAGGAGUGUAGUUGGUGAAUCUUUUAGACAGCGACCAGCACCACUACCCUUUGGGACUUCUGGAUUGUCCACUCCAAAGGGGAGUUCUAAAUCACCAGCAUCAGGGUAGAGUCUUGGAUCGCUGUCAACUCCUUUGAGGAUCCUCCCACCUUGGUGAGCAUUUUUGAUCUUCUUGCUUCUCCUCGAUGGUAGCAUCAGUCGAGGUUCCAUACACUUUAAAGGCUUCCUCAGCUCGAGCAUACUUUUUAGCCCAAGCCAACAUUUCAUUGAAGUCCUUUAAGUAGGUCUUCGCUAGUGAGAAGAGGAGAGCGUUCUUCUAAAGUCCAUCCUUCAAGGUGGUCAUUGCGAUCGAUUAGUCUAAGUCGCAUGCUUCUAGGAUGGCUACAUUGAAGCGGCUCAAAUAAACUCAGAGAGAUUCUCCUUUCCACUGCUUAAUAUUUAUCAAGGAAUCGAAUCC
rnacentral:lncRNA from 1 species